UAAGAGAGAGUUCGGCCAUGGCAAGAAAAAAUUAACCCUCCAAAUUUAUCCCCAAAAAUUAUAAUUUUCUAGUAUUCCUACUAAGUCAAGGGUGCUCUACAACAUGGUGUAAUUGUUUUGGAAGUUUGGAGACUUGUUUCAUUGAUUUGGAAGUGAAGAAGUUAGAAGAAAAAGAUUUUGGAGAAAACGGGAAUUGAAUUUGGACAACCGUAAAACGUCAAAAAGGUACCGACGUUCAUUGUGCUGAGCCGCCUGUUUAGGACAUCUGCUGUGUUAGUUACAGUGCUCCUUUGUUCGGAGCUUGUAUUUUGGUACUGACUCUAUCUCUGUAUAUUUGUAUAUAUUGGUCAGGGGUACGACGGGGCCCUGUCCCGCCUUAUGACUAUGUUAUCAUCUGUAGAGGUCUGUAGACAGAGUUAUGUUGUGGGUUUUGGAUAUAUGGUUUGGAUUUUUGUGUGUUUUGUGACAGUCUUUCAACUCUCGUGCGUAUAUUUACUUCUAUAAUAUAUGUAGAAAUUUCUA